rnacentral:rRNA from 1 species
UACGCGAGGAACCUUACCUGGGCUUAAAUGUAGAGUGCAUUUUUUAGAGAUAGAAAUUCCCUUCGGGGCUUUCUGCAAGGUGCUGCAUGGUUGUCGUCAGCUCGUGCCGUGAGGUGUCGGGUUAAGUCCCAUAACGAGCGCAACCCUUAUCGUUAGUUGCCAGCUGGUAAAGCAGGGGACUCUAGCGAAACUGCCACCGUAAGGUGAGAGGAAGGUGGGGAUGACGUCAAAUCAGCACGGCCCUUAUGUCCAGGGCUACACACGUGUUACAAUGGCCGGUACAAAGGGCAGCUACUUCGCGAGAAGAUGCUAAUCUCGAAAGCCGGUCUCAGUUCGGAUCGAAGUCUGCAACCCGACUUCGUGAAGCUGGAUUCGCUAGUAAUCGCGCAUCAGCCAUGGCGCGGUGAAUACGUUCCCGGGCCUU